CAGCUCUAUGCGGUGGAUCACUCGGCUCGUGCGUCGAUGAAGAGCGCAGCCAGC
rnacentral:rRNA from 1 species